CGUGUCCGAACUCCUCACAUCAUGGAAUACUGGAAACCCUUGGCUGAAGAUGGAUGUAUCAGCUGGAAUAGAAGCUGAAUAUCACCACAAAAAUAGUCGGGUUUAUUGUUGGAAAGGUCUUCGAUUUUCGGCUCGACAGGACUUGGAUGGAUUUUCUAGAUUCACUGAUCAUGGUAUUGAAGGGGUU